GUACCGUGGCUACGAGGACACGCUGGCGGCGUGCCUAAUACAUGCAAGUAGAACGCUGAAGACUGGUGCUUGCACUAGUCAGAUGAGUUGCGAACGGGUGAGUAACGCGUAGGUAACCUACCUCAUAGCGGGGGAUAACUAUUGGAAACGAUAGCUAAUACCGCAUGACAAUUAAGUACUCAUGUACUAAAUUUAAAAGGAGCAAUUGCUUCACUAUGAGAUGGACCUGCGUUGUAUUAGCUAGUUGGUGAGGUAACGGCUCACCAAGGCCACGAUACAUAGCCGACCUGAGAGGGUGAUCGGCCACACUGGGACUGAGACACGGCCCAGACUCCUACGGGAGGCAGCAGUAGGGAAUCUUCGGCAAUGGGGGCAACCCUGACCGAGCAACGCCGCGUGAGUGAAGAAGGUUUUCGGAUCGUAAAGCUCUGUUGUUAGAGAAGAACGGUAAUGGGAGUGGAAAAUCCAUUACGUGACGGUAACUAACCAGAAAGGGACGGCUAACUACGUG
rnacentral:rRNA from 1 species